rnacentral:snoRNA from 1 species
GUCUUCUCAUUGAGCUCCUUUCUGUCAGCUAUGACAGUUUAUGGAUUCGCACGAGAAGAAGAGAAACAAUUCACAGAAAUAGCAUUACUUUACCUUCUGCUUUUACAGAGGUAUAUUUGGCUAUUUUGUGAGACAUUC